rnacentral:tRNA from 1 species
AAAAGUUUAAUUAAAUAAUAAUAAUAUUAGAUUGUCAAACUAAAAUUACACUAAGUGUAACUUUUA